rnacentral:misc_RNA from 1 species
AUAUAUAUCAACCUCUCUCUCUCUUGUUUGAGCGGUUUGGAUGUGGGGGGUUUGCUGGACUCUUAAAGGGUUCAGCUCCUCUGAAAUGCAUUAGCAGAACAACCUGUUCAUUGGUGUGAUAAACUAUCUACGCUAUUGAAUGUGAGGGGCAGUUCAGCUUUCCAACGGUCCUUGGACAAUUUAUCAUUU